GUAUUGUUACUUAUCGGGUAUAGAAUAAAUCUGUUUCUUUUUAUUUCUACAAAUAUGAUUGUUCCAUUUUACGAGAAAAUCUAAUGAAAGGCUAGAGUCCAUAAUAUAAAUUUUUCAAGUGCAAUAAAGUUACAUAGUGUCUAUUUUUUGUUGAUAUAAGGGGUAUUUUCAUGGGUUUACCUUGGUAUCGUGUUCAUACUGUUGUAUUAAAUGAUCCAGGCCGUUUGCUUUCUGUUCAUAUAAUGCACACAGCUCUGGUUGCUGGUUGGGCCGGUUCGAUGGCUCUAUAUGAAUUAGCAGUUUUUGAUCCCUCUGACCCUGUUCUUGACCCAAUGUGGAGA
rnacentral:misc_RNA from 1 species